ACCCGCUGAACUUAAGCAUAUCAAUAAGCGGAGGAAAAGAAACCAACAGGGAUUGCCUCAGUAACGGCGAGUGAAGCGGCAACAGCUCAGAUUUGAAAUCUGGCCCCGUGUGGGGUCCGAGUUGUAGUCUGGAGAGGAUGCUUCGGGGGCGCGAUCGGGUCUAAGUUCCUUGGAACAGGACGUCAGAGAGGGUGAGAAUCCCGUCUGUGGCCCGGCCUUGCCCCUGGGUGAAGCUCCCUCGACGAGUCGAGUUGUUUGGGAAUGCAGCUCAAAUUGGGUGGUAAAUCUCAUCUAAAGCUAAAUACCGGCCAGAGACCGAUAGCGCACAAGUAGAGUGAUCGAAAGAUGAAAAGCACUUUGGAAAGAGAGUUAAACAGCACGUGAAAUUGUUGAAAGGGAAGCGCUUGCGAUCAGACUUGUCCGUGGUCCGUCACCGUAGGGUCUUCCCGCGGUGUUAGGGGCCGCGGUCAGGCCAGCAUCGGUCUGGGUGGUGGAAUGAAGGCCCUGGGAAUGUGGCUCCUCUCGGGGAGCGUUAUAGCCUAGGGUCCCACGUCGCCGCUCGGACCGAGGCCCGCGCUCCGGCAAGGAUGCUGGCGUAAUGGUCGC
rnacentral:rRNA from 1 species